rnacentral:sRNA from 1 species
GAUUACAGUGUCAAAAGGUAUUUUCCACGUCAUGCUUGCAUGUAAGUGGAGAGAUACCUUAUUGACACGCCCACACAUGAGCAAGAAGUGGGGCGGGGGCCCCAUAGAUUGCGAAUGCGUGGCAGGAUUGUGGAAGUGCGCAGCACAAAACAAUCCGU